GGGGACUAUAGUGUUUCUUUAAUGUGAGGUAAAUUAGAGCUUAGUGCCACGAAUAAUAUACUAGAUUGCCUACUUACAACCAGAUGAGGAUGAUGAUGGGCUCUAGCUGCAGUCUGGCAUCACUGGUCUGGUGCAGAACAGUCUCUCUGCAGGCGGUUUGUAACUGUGGUCACAAAAAUCAAUGUUCUGGGAGAACGGGAAGCAGCUCCAUUUUUUGGGGGUCCUUUACACAGCUCAAGGUCUGGGUCCCAGGGUCCACCUUCAUGUUCCACCAAUGAGUUUGUUCACAGGGGGUGGAGUGUGUAGGGGAUGUCCUGAUAUGUGUGUAAGGAAUG